rnacentral:lncRNA from 1 species
CAUGAAGCUGUUUUUUCGCAUUACAGAGAUUUAUAUGUUUGCGUUUACAUAUUGCAGGUGUUUCCAUAAAAGCUCGGGGUAGACACAUUCAGGAUGGCCUGAAAGAAAAUGGAGAAGUGCUUAAAAUGUUACUGAGCACACUUACAAAUAUCAUCCUGGAGCAGAAGAGUGAAGUCACUGCAGAAACGAGGGAGCACAGGCAGAUCCCUUCAUGCCUUUGGAAGCUCUGGCUAUCACUGCACCAGGUGGAAAAAGACUGUGGACAGGAAUUAUCUAAGGACCACAAUUCAGGCACUGAAGGAGCAAAACUGCAACCCACCCAAUAUAAUUCCUGUAAACUCAAUGUGCCAAGGUUUCCAACAAGCACCAUCUCUGGUAACCACAGUCAUUCCCAUGCCAGGCCUUACAGAAACUGGUCAGAAUGGUUUUGGAGAUCUGGACAGCCCCUGAUCUUUCUGAGGAAGGAAAAAGCAGCUCAGCUGAGCAAACUUGGUUGAUGAUGUCCAAUGAAGCACUUGCACACCAUUGCCCUCUCCCCGGCAGCUCAUCAGGACAUCACUUGCCAGCUCCACUAUCAGGGGAGGUGAUGAAGGUACCUAAUUUGUUUGCAAGUUGGAGAAUGAUGUAAAAGGUUCCUCAUCCAUCAUGAUAAAGGCUUUCAAAAAAACCCCCAGACAAAUGUUCCUUCCUCUCGUUUCGCCCGCGCUCCGUGAGGACAUUUGAAACAGAGGGAAAGUUCAGCGUAGCCAUAUGUACAGAGGGGAUGCACACAAAUCACAGCUGCUGCUAAUUGGAUCCAGAGAUCUAAUUGUUCCCUCAUGGUGGCACCCUGUGCUGCUCCUGCCUCCCCUGACCUGCCAAGGGGCUCAGCCGCUCAGAGCAUCAGGUCGCUCACUAAGCAGAGCAGGCAUUCGGGGCCUUGCCCAACUUGAGGGAAAGAUGAAGACAUAAAAUAACAUAUAAUAAUAUAAAAUAACAUCAAAUAAUAUCAAAUAACAUCAAAUAAUAUAAAAUAACUCCAGGUGCUUGCUCAGAGGCUGAGACCUCAUCCAGAAAGCAUCCUUAAACCAAAGCAUUGAGAAACACCGCUAAAAUUGCCAGAAAUAGGAUGUUUUGUACAUCCCCUUCCUGUUCUUAGUGCAGAGCAACAGUGCCUGUCUGUGUUAGGGACUAUUGGUCAUUUUUAACCCUUUUUAGGACCACUAUCACCCCAUCCAACUCCACAUGUGAGCCCAAGCAUGAACUCUGGACUUGGAUACUCCCAGGUUACAUGGAGCAGUCCUGGAGAAGUGGGGAGGAAAUACCCAAAGUUUGGUCUCAGAUCUACUUUAGUCCUGGAAAAGUCUCUGAGUCUUCUUUUAUUAUGCAAAC